rnacentral:rRNA from 1 species
GACAGAGGGUGCAAACGUUGCUCGGAAUCACUGGGCGUAAAGGGCGUGUAGGCGGGACGGUAAGUCGGGCGUGAAAUCCCUAGGCUCAACCCCGCGCUUGCAUUCGAUACGGGCAGGCUCGAGUUCGGUAGGGGAGACUGGAAUUCCUGGUGUAGCGGUGAAAUGCGCAGAUAUCAGGAGGAACACCGGUGGCGAAGGCGGGUCUCUGGGCCGAUACUGACGCUGAGGAGCGAAAGCGUGGGGAGCGAACAGG